UAAAUAAACCCAUAUAUAGAAAGGUUAACUGUGGUUGGUUAGAGGUUCAUGUUAUGUAACUUGUUAUGUAAGUGCCAUAUGCUAUAAAAUAGCAAGCGGAAGGGUCCUUGCUGGAGGGGACUCUGCCUGAUUCUUUGUACUAGGGGUCUAUCUUGUGCACAUAUUGAAUACAACCUUGUUGAAUUGAACUAAAUCGAAUUGCAUUGAAUCACAUCGCAUCAAAUCGAAGUCCCUUGAUUCUACCCAGCAUCAGGCUCACUGGGAACCACCAAAUCCCAACAGUUUCUUGGCGCAGCAAGCAAGGUGAGAAAUAUCCUUCAGGAUCAUGACCUACAAUCAAAUUAGAGGGAAAGAAAUCUUCGGCAGUCCAUGUGGCAAGAUGGACUUGAUGGGAAACGAUCUUGCUAAUGCCUUCGGUACAUCUGCAACAAGCGUUGUUGCUAAACCCUGCCACCCUCAUGCCUACCACAGAUGAGGGACACCUACAUCUUUGUUGCCUUAAGGAAGAACCGAUGAACCUUCCAUUGGUAAAAGAAACUGAAAUACCUGGUGCCCCUUGCCUAUACGUGGAUGGUUCUUCCUUCUAUGUAGACGGCAAGCAAUACGCAGGAUGGCCGUUUGUACUCAAGAUGGGCAGCUGGUGGCGCAUGGCAGUUUACCUGGAGCAUCAGCCGAAGUAGCAGAACUACAGGCAUUAGUUGCAGCAUGAGAAGCUGCAGAAGGUCAUGUUAUAAACAUAUAUACUGAUUCUAGAUAUGCAUUUGGGGUUGUACAUAAUUAUAUUCACCUGUGGGUAAAUCGGGGAUUCCUGACAAGUACAGGAUCCCCAAUACAAAAUGGGGGGAUAAUGGAGAAACUUCAUGCAGCCAUGCAGAAACCUACCAAAGUAGCAGUGAUAAAAGUGAAGGCCUAUACAAAAGGGACAGACUCUCAUAGCAAGGGGAACCGAAGGACAGAUGAACUAGCUAAACAAGCAACAGUGGAAGGUAAAGAGACCGAAUUGAUUGCUGCAACACAGCCUCUCAUAAAAACCCCAAAACUUUUUUAAAUUACAGGACAUUCAACACACUGCACCAAGAGCAGAGAAGUGGUUAUGGAUGGACAAUGGGGACAAAGUGCGUGAUGAUAACACCUGGAGAGGUCCAGGGAACACAUUAGUGUUCCAAAUGUGCUAAUGGGAACUAUGAUACAAGUGUAUCACAUGUUGGAACAUGAUGGAGCAUGGAGGGUUAUCCACCGGAUGUUGGACACCUGGUGGCAUCCUAAGCUUAAUGCAAAUAUGCAUGAUUAUGUGAGGAGUGAAAAUGAAAAUGCAACAUCAGCCAAGACCAACACAGCCCUUCAUGCAGUUACAAAUAGAUUUCAUUGGACCCCUGCCAUUGGGCAGAGGAAAAGAAUAUGUUUUGGUAAUCAUGGAUCACUUUACUAAGUGGGUAGAAGCUUUCCCAAUGGCCAAGGCCAUUGUGUCUGAUGUAGUUAAACUAUUGAUGCCUUUGAUAUUCAGUUUAAAACUGAUGUAGAAAUUUUUGUGGUCCACUAAUUGUUUUGAGUGGUUUCUGAAACUUGAAAAUUUUUUUAGAGGUCUCAUCUUAAUAAUGCUGCAGUGGCUUUCUGUGUUUUAUUGAUGUAAUCACCUAGGGAGGAGCCACUGGAUCAGUUGUAAAUGCCUUUAUUAAAAUCUAAUAAUGGGGACUGGGUUGAAAAUUUGUUAGUAGCAGGAAUGACAGUUUAUUGUGGUGAGAGUGGGGCUCAUGUCUAAUCAAGUUAGAUAUCACCUUAACUCUGCAACAUAGUUGGUAGGUCCUCACUGUUGUACUCAGCCAUCUAUUAAAAGCUACUAAAAUGUAUAGGCAAGCAUUGGUCUAGGUGUGUGGAAAAACUAUCUUCCUGGCAUGGUAUUAUCCUGGUGUUCAACAUGAAAGUUGCAGCCCUGAUAGGAGACUCACUCGUGCCACAGGUGCCAUGUUGGGUGAGAGCUGCAGUUCUCAAAGACUGAACGUCUUCACCUUGGAUGGUGGAAGGGGAGUGGUCCCUAUCGAUAAUAGGGGUAUGUUGAGAUGGUCAUUGCCUCCUUGGAGGGGUGUCAAUUCCUCAACUGGAGGCUCAGCCAGUCCACCCACUCCCAUUCUCAUGUCACAGACACCUGUGUAAAAUAAGGGCCAGAGAUAACUAUAUGGCUUUCCCAUGGGACCAAUGUUUCAUCCUGGAGGAUGGGUUUUGUGUAUGGGAAACCUAAAGUCAGGACAAGCCUUAUCUCAAAUGUUGAGACCUGACUUAAUGGUGCAUGUUAUGUUUUAUUUAAUAGAUGAUAUAGCAGUGAGGAAGGACUCCACUAUCUGGUGUGGAUUUGGGUGGUUAAAUUUGGCAGGCAAGCCUUGCUUAAACAUCUCAUUCUUCCUAUUGUGUUAAGCUUUUUAGAAGAAAUAUUAUGAAAGAAGCGGUAAAGCAAUUACAGUAAUUCAGUGAAUAAAAGGGUUUGCUAUUGUGUAAACCAAAGAUUCCGUGGGGAUGGAUUUCAGUUGUGUUCUCACAAUGGUAUUGGGACAUUAUUAUUUUUAUUGGAAAUAUUAUGUAUUAUUUCAUUCUGUUCUCAAAAUCAGAGUUAAUUGUUGAUAAAGUUAAUUAUUGCUCCUAAUAAAUACAAGGAAGUGGUGUUAGUGGGGUCUAAGAAUUGUUCUUAGUCCCAAAACCAAAUGGGGGAUCGGAAGGGUUUGCUUGUGUUCAUUUUGGAUAAAAUGUGGUUUUCAGGGUGCUUAUACAUAGGGAAGCAGGCUGUGGCUCACCAGCCUAGGAACAUUCUAGAGAAGGCCAGAGGGAAAGGGGUGAACUUAACAUGUGGAAUGGAGAACUAUGAGCAUGUGAUAAACAAACCCAUAUAUGGAAAGGUUAACCCUGAUUGGUUAGAGGUUCAUGUUAUGUAACUUGUUAUGUAAGUGCCAUAUGCUAUAAAAUAGCAAGGGGAAGGGUGCUUGCUGGAGGGGACUCUGCCUGAUUCUUUGUACCAGGGGCUCUCCUUGUGCACAUAUUGAAUAAAGCCUUGUUGAACUGAACUGAAUCGAAUUGCAUUGAAUCGCAUCACAUCAAAUUGAAGUCCCUUGAU